rnacentral:rRNA from 1 species
AACGAACGCUGGCGGCAUGCCUAACACAUGCAAGUCGAACGAGACCUUCGGGUCUAGUGGCGCACGGGUGCGUAACGCGGGGGAACCUGCCCUUAGGUUCGGAAUAACUCCCCGAAAGGGGUGCUAAUACCGGAUAAUGUCUUCGGACCAAAGAUUUAUCGCCUUUGGAUGGGCCCGCGUUGGAUUAGCUAGUUGGUAGGGUAAAAGCCUACCAAGGCGACGAUCCAUAGCUGGUGUGAGAGGAUGAUUAGCCACACUGGGACUGAGACACGGCCCAGACUCCUACGGGAGGCAGCAGUGGGGAAUAUUGGACAAUGGGCGAAAGCCUGAUCCAGCCAUGCCGCGUGAGUGAUGAAGGCCUUAGGGUUGUAAAGCUCUUUUACACGGGAUGAUAAUGACAGUAACGGGAGAAUAAGCUCCGGCUAACUCCGUG